GUACCUGUGACACAUGCAGGACAUAAGAUGUUGAGUCCAUGCCUUCAGAGGGCAGGCUAUUCUCUGUCUACCCGCCACCCAUGGCCUGUCAUGCCGAGAGUCUUUCAACCAGAAGAAUGAAGGAUGGGUCAUCCAAGAACAGGAGUGUGUGAAGCCAAGGACAGUAGCUCAUGCCCCUGGGUCAGACAGCACAUUCCCAUGAAUGAUGGUGACAUCGCCAAGGCACCUGGAGUGAAAAUGGUCUCUGAAGUGUAACGGAGUUCCUCUGGUCUUCAGAGAUUCCUGAGAGCCAGGGCAGAGGGGAGGAACCCCUUCCCAGGCUCAUCUCAAACAAGCCUGCUGUUCCCUGACAUAGUCACUCUCCACCUACAAACUCAGGAGUGGCUACAGGAGGCUGAGCUCGCUAUGUCCACGAGGGAGGAUCCAGGGCCACAUCCUCACUGUUGUUGCAGAGAACCAGCCUGGGGCACCUGUGCUCAGUGACAACAGAAGAAAAGAUUCAUGCAGGGUUGAAGUUUGUUGAAAACCUGCUGUGGAAAGGUUCUAGCCACCAGAGAGAAAGGCCAUACACCAAACACAGAAUCUGGAAUAGACAAUGCUCCUUAAGACAGGUGCCCUUCCAGCUUUGGUUCCUGGCAAUUGGCACAAAGAAAGCAAGGAAGAAAUCAAGGCUGCUACCCUGAAGAACAGUAAGAGCAUCAUGACGGUGGACCCAAAUAUUUAACAUUUGAAGAACAGUCUUAUGGAGAAGGAAACAGCUUGUUUUUGGUGGCCCAAGUCAGCAUGCAGAGUGAGGAGAUGAUGAGCAGUUAUAUUUCAGCUCAGUAUAACAGGCUGUUCCAUAUAAAUUGCCUCCUGCAGUUUCAAGACUCAUUCGGAGCAAGCAGCUCCUCUGGGAAGACUUCCUGGGGGUGGCCGCUGCCACCUGCCUGCAGCAUGCUCCUCUCCCUCCGACUGCCCUCUACAUGGUAUGUGUAGGGUUUCAGUGAUCCACUUGACCUGAGUUCUGCAGAGCCUUGCAGAUACAUUCCAGAAAAUGGUGACUGAGGGGCUUUGAGGUCCUUGUUCUGUCAUUUAUGAGUCCCACAACCUGGACAGUAAGUUCCUUACCUUUCUGGACUCACUUUUGUCAUCUAUAAAAUGGUAAUAACAAAAUAUAUUGGGCUUGAGUGCAUGGGCUCAGAAAAGUAUCUGGAAUCCAAUAAAUGCUUCAUUGAGCUCCUCUGUACCCCAUGUGUUUCCAUAGUGACCUGUGACACUCCUGUCUUUCAGGUCUGUAGACACUGGACUAGGAGACAGAGCUGGACUCAGAGGCCAAGCUUUUGGGCACUUCAGACAGUAUUCUCCACAAGCAUUAAACAAACUUUCCCUCCUGGUUUUUCAAUUACACUAAAUGACCCAUCAGUCAAAAGUGCUUGCUUCUCCAAGGGAAUACAAAUGCUCUGUGAAUUACAUCACUUCUUCCUGAGGGACGAUCUGUCAAUCAGGAGAGAAGCUCAGAGCUCACAACAUCUGCAAGGGACCAGCAGUACAUCUUGUCCUUACUAUUGGCCUUUGUAGACCUUCUAAGUCAGUCUCCGACUUCAAUGGGAAUCAUGGCAUCUAUACCACUGUUAUACCUCCUCAACCAACGUGACAAUGGCUAAGAAAGUGUGAUGCAGCCGGGCGUUGGUGGUGCACGUCUUUAAUCCCAGCACUCGGGAGGCAGAGGCAGAUGGAUCUCUGUGAGUUCGAGGCCAGCCUGGUCUCCAGAUCGAGUGCCAGGAUAGGCUCCAAAGCUACACAGAGAAACUCUGUCUCAAAACAAAACAAAACAAAAAACAAACAAACAAAAAAGAAAGUGUGAUGCUUGGGUGCAAGACUAAACUUGGUCUGGUGAGAUGCUCAUUGAGUAAAGGCACUUACUGGCACACCUGAUGACCUGAGUUCCAUCCCUGGGACUUGCCUGGUGGAAAGAGAGAACUGACUUCUACAAGUUGUCCUCUGACCUCUCCACACAAUGCAUUGUGGCGCUUAUGCUUGUGUGCGGCACACCUACACACAUAUAUGUAAUGAAUAAAAUGUAAUAAAAAUUAAAAUAAACUUG